GUGGAAGCGCUAUUGAUCCCGCCGGAGAAGCUUCGCGCCUUGAUGAUCGAGGAACCUGAACUCGGCGAACGGAUCAUGCAUGCGCUCAUCUUGCGCCGCGUCGUGCUGAUCGAGGCCGGUAGCGGUGGUCCGGUCCUGAUCGGCUCUGAGUCAAGUCCGGAUGUGGUGCGCCUGCAGGGCUUUCUUGCCCGCAACGCCUAUCCGCACCAAUUGCUAGACCCGGCAAAGGACGACGAUGCGGCGAGGCUGGUUCAG
rnacentral:misc_RNA from 1 species